GAAGAAGUUAGGAAUUACUUUGGUAGGUGAAAAUAAUUAUUUGGAUUCUCUUUCAAACUACGACUUAAAGAAUUGAGGUGAAACUUGUGUUGUUUGAUUCAUUCAUUGCUUGCAAACUCUAUAAAAGUUUAAAUAGAUGGCCAUGCAUGGUUAUAGCUAAACCACGUAUACAUAUUCAACAAUCAUUCAUUGACUCUACCGACC
rnacentral:lncRNA from 1 species